rnacentral:rRNA from 1 species
UACGUAGGGGGCAAGCGUUGUCCGGAAUCAUUGGGCGUAAAGCGCGUGUAGGCGGCUAGGUAAGUCUGCUCUGAAAGCCCGGGGCUCAACCCCGGGAGGCGGGUGGAUACUGUCUAGCUCGAGUCCGGAAGAGGAGUGUGGAAUUCCUGGUGUAGCGGUGAAAUGCGCAGAUAUCAGGAGGAACACCGGUGGCGAAGGCGGGUCUCUGGGCCGAUACUGACGCUGAGGAGCGAAAGCGUGGGGAGCGAACAGG